rnacentral:rRNA from 1 species
CACGUAGUUAGCCGGGGCUUCUUACUCAGGUACCGUCAUUUAUUCUUCCCUGCUGAUAGAGCUUUACAUAACGAAUUACUUCUUCACUCACGCGGCGUCGCUGCAUCAGGGUUCCCCCCAUUGUGCAAUAUCCCCCCACUGCUGCCUCCCGUAGGAGUCUGGGCCGUGUCUCAGUCCCAAUGUGGCCGUCCGCCCUCUCAGGCCGGCUACUGAUCGUCGCUUUGGUAGGCCGCUACCCCUGCCAACUGGCUAAUCAGACGCGGGCCCAUCGUAUACCGUCUCGGCUUUCACACUCCAGUAUGCACUGCUGUGCGCUUAUGCGGUAUAGCACUAUUCUAAGUGUUACUCCCCCUGUAUACGGUAGGUUCGCCCACGCCGUUACUCACCCGUCCGCCACUAAGAUACUAUUUUCCUUCAGACGUAAUCCCUCAUUCCAAUACUACUCCCCGUUCGACUUGCAUGUGUUAGGCACGCCCGCCAGUCCGUUCGUACUCCUGAGCCAGGACUA